UACGAGGAUAGAGGAGCGACGUUUAUUAGUAUCUGUAUUGAUGUAAGCAAAAUGAUGUACAGUGAAAGGGAAUGUCGCCGAAGUAUACAGCUGAUGCUUUAAGGCUGUAUAACUGGUUUUAUUUCAGAAUAUGAGUAAGACUGUCACAAAUUAUUUUGUGGAGAGCUAUCAUUCAA
rnacentral:ncRNA from 2 species